rnacentral:rRNA from 1 species
UGCUUACACAUGCAAGUCAACGGAGUACUUCGGUACUUGGUGGCGGACGGGUGAGUACGCGUGAGGAUCUGCCUCAGGAGGGGGACACGACUGAAACGGCGUAUACCCAUAUGCGAGAGGUGAAUGUUUUCGCCUGAGAUGAGCUCGCGUAGAUUACUGUUGGUGGGGUAACGGGCUACCAAGGCGACGAUCUGUAGCUGGUCUGAGAGGAUGAUCAGCCACACUGGGACUGAGACACGGCCCAGACUCCUACGGGAGGCAGCAGUGGGGAAUUUUCCGCAAUGGGCGAAAGCCUGACGGAGCAAGACCGCGUGAGGGAUGACGGCCUAAUGGUUGUAAACCUCUUUUCUCUGGGAAGAUAAUGACGGUACCAGAGGAAAUAGCCUCGGCUAACUCCGUGCCAGCAGCCGCGGUAAUACGGAGGAGGCAAGCGUUAUCCGGAAUUAUUGGGCGUAAAGCGUCCGUAGGUGGUUAAUCAAGUCAGCUGUUAAAGAGCGGAGCUUAACUCCGUUAGAGCGGUUGAAACUGAUUGACUAGAGUUUGGUAGGGGUCGAGGGAAUUCCCAGUGUAGCGGUGAAAUGCGUAGA